UGAUACAUCUCUUUUGUUUAAUUGAAAAACUAUCACAGCAAAUUAUCAGUGUUAUCAGUGCAAACUAUCAGUGUUAUAAAUGCAAACUAUCAGUUUUAUCAGUGAAAACUGUCGGUGCAGGCCGUGUGUUAGUUACCAUUAGCCGUCUUCUCUUAAAAAACCCAAAUAAAAUGUCGAAACACGUUGUCAAAUUAUUCGACUUUGCUCGUGAAAACACCAGAGCUAAAUUGUUUUGCGUCUCCACCCUAGCUGAGCUUCUUUCAAAAGGUAAGUAGUUGUCAAUGGAGAAUUUCCUAUUACACUGCUCACUGGCUUAUGCGUAAUAUUGUCUUUUAGUUUUAAGGUGCAACUGCGUUUUUCCUUGAAAGCAAGUGUGAAAUAAUCACAUCAUCUGAAGAUAUUCUCUCGGAUAAUUAAGUGUUAUUUCUUAUUAACGACCAAUCAGAGGUUCUUAAUAUACUGUAAAUCGAAAAAGGCAAUAAUGCCUCUAUGCUAAAGUUUGCUGGCGUCGUGACAAAUUAGUUUGCUGCACCUGCUGCGACUAAAGAAAAUGAGCCAAUCCAGUUUAUUGUUAUAGCAGCAGAGCCUACACUUACACCAGAUCAAGAAAUUAUUGGGCCAGUUGAGGAAGGAGCUGUGGAACGUAUUCAGCCGGACAAACUUUCCUCUGUGGCUGACAUUCUUAAAGAAGACAUGAUUGGGGUAAAGGGAGAUACAGGCGAGGAAAUUAUUGCCCGUUUCAAGGCAGUCGAUUUCCCGAGUAGACAGUGCUCACAAAAGGACCUGUCAUACCUUAUUUGGACUUCAGGAACCUGGCUGAUGAAAAAUGCAGGCUUUAAUUUAAUACUAUAUUUUUACAAUAUCAUUACGGUAACUUAAAUAUUAUUUUAUAGGCGAAAAAACUUUCCUAGUAACGACGAGAUUCUGCAAAUAGCAAAGUCCAUAGUUUUUAAUUCACGUCGGCUGGGAGUUACAAUAGCAAGACACCAUGGGAUAUGUUAUUUGAUCCAUGUACCCGUAAAGGUUCACUGGAAUCCUACAUGUGAGGGAAAAGAUUCAGGAAAAAAUUGUCAGAAAAACGUACUGAACGGCAGGGUACAAUGGUCAUGUUUCCAGAAAGCGAUUUUUACACAGAAGAAGAACAAAUGGAGGCCGAGGAAUACAUGAGGUUGACGCCUUUAUAUUCAUAUGAUAUAAGAAAUCACAAUAGCAACGAAAUGCUAUGUUUGAUGAAAAUUACUUCAAAACUGAAGCGAUUUACCCGCGUCUGGAAGAUUUUACG